rnacentral:lncRNA from 1 species
CCUAUAGGGACCCCAAAUGUCCCACCCUAUAAGGACCCAAAUGUCCCACCCUAUAGGGACCCCAAAUAUCCCACUCCAUAGGGACCCCAAUAUCUCACCCCAUAGGGACCCAAAUAUCACACGCUAUAGGGACCCCAAAAAUCCCACCCUAUAGGGACCCCAAAUGUCCCACUCCAUAGGGACCCCAAAUAUCGCACCCCAUAGGGACCCCAAAUGUCCUACCCUAUAGGAACCCCAGUGUCCCACAUUUGGGCUCCCAUCCAUCCCAUUUCGGGUCCCAUCGGUCCCAUUUGGGAUCCUACUUUUGGGGACCCCAAAUAUCCCAUCCCAUAGUGACCCAAUGUCCCACAUCUGGGCUCCCACCCAUCCCACAUUUGGGGUCCAUCCCGCCCCACCCCAUAAUGACCCCGAUGCCCAUUUACGGGGUCCCAUCCAUCCCAAAUUUGGGGUCCAUCCUGUCCCAUCCCAUAAUGACCCCAAUGUCCCACUUUUGGGGUCCCAUCCAUCCCACAUCUGGGCUCCCAUCCAUCCGUUGCAUUUGGGGUCCCAUCAGUCCCACUUUUGGGGACCCCAAAUGUCUCAUCCCAUAAUGACCCCAAUGCCCCACUUUUGGGGUCCCAUCCAUCCCACUUUUGGGGUCCAUCCUGUCCCAUCCCACAGUGACCCCAAUGCCCCAUUUAUGGGGUCCCAGCUUUCCCACAUUUGGGGUCCCAUCCAUCCCACAUUUGGGGUCCCAUCGAUCCCACAUUUGGGGUCCAUCCCGCCCCACCCCAUAAUGACCCCAAUGUCCCACAUCUGGGCUCCCACCCAUCCCACAUUUGGGGUCCAUCCUGCCCCAUCCCAUAGUGACCCCACUGUCCCACUUUUGGGGUCCCAUCCAUCCCCCAUUUGGGGUCCCAUCGAUCCCACAUUUGGGUUCCUUCCUGUCCCAUCCCAUAAUGACCCACAUUUGGGGUCCCAUCCAUCCCACAUCUGGGCUCCCACCCAUCCCACAUUUGGGGUCCAUCCCGCCCCACCCCAUAAUGACCCCAAUGCCCCACAUUUGGGGUCCCAUCAGUCCCACAUUUGGGGUCCAUCCUGCCCCAUCCCAUAA